AUUCUUCCCAAUUUUCCCAGUAACCCGUCUGUCCUCCAGAUUAACAAACAAGUUCAGAGGAUCAGUGCCUUGCUCAGUCCACACCUCGGGUUGUGGCUGGUGAGCCAGGGCCGGGGGCUUCCACAUUUCCACUGUAUUUGCCACAUCAACACAAAGUCUCACCAAAUUCAGAAUAACUAAUCUCUGCAAAGGUCUAGCCUGGCGCAGUUUCCUCCCCUUGCAGACGAUUCCAGGCUCCAGGCCUACCCCCCUAACAGAUCCGGGAUGACGAGAACCCCUGGGGUCCACCAGCCAACCCAAGCUACACGCCUACCACGCCCAUUCUAUUCCACUUAGAGGAAAAGGAGAGCGGUUCAAAGGUUUAAAGCAUUUAUUGUGCUCCCGCAAAGGCUGACGGGAUGGAAGGAGGCGCGGGGCCGUCACGCGCCCCGAGCGACUGUUUGCCUCGCACCCAAAGGCGGGGGGCGGUGGGGGGAGGGAGGGGCUGGUGAGCUGGAAAGGACGGCGAGGAGGCCCUGGCUCCGGCUGUGACCGGCUGGUACGGCCUCCGCCAUUGGCGUACAGGAGCUGGUAACCAUGGCAGCAGCUGUCGCCAAAGGCAAGAGCCAAUGGGGGCGUUGCCCGGGCCAUUUCAAAAAUGUAAAGCAAACGACAACAAAAAAACGCUACAACGGCGGGGGAUGGGAGGGAUGAAAAGGGGAUGGACCGGCUGGAGCCACUCCCUGCGGCUCAGAACAGGCGUCGCGUCCCUGGCCAGGUUAAACGCACAACACCUCCAGACGGUUGGAGUAGAAAAACCGAACCGCGGAGAGACCCAGCUCGCUGGCGGCCCUUGGGAACUUUGCGGACGCUACACUUGGCUGCCUUCAAAACCUUCUUGCCCUCCAAAGCCUUUGAGGAAACUGUUAGUGAUAAUCACAUGGACCUGGAAGAAACUGCUAGUUUUUCGUCGCGGUUCCUUCGAGAAUGGCUGGAGCCCUUUCGUGACCCACAGAAUUUCCGUCAGUGGCCCAACUGCGGGUCUAUGCCUGAGCUGGGUCUCCACAGCCGCUAGCUGAAGGAAGGUGGUGGUUUUGGGCGGGGGGUUGACUGGGGCGAGAGGUUUCGCGGAGGGUGGUGGGUGGCAGAAUUCCUGGAAGGCACGGGGAGAGGCAGGGCCGCCUGGGCUGUGGCCCCAAGGCAUGGACCUCCUCUGCCCACGUACGUCUAGGGGAGGCACCGGUCCCAGGGUCAAGAGACUUUCGGUUGACUCAGCCAUCACUUGGAGCACGACUGGGGAUCUUCGUCGCCCCGCCUCACCGGAUUUCACCCUUCUCGCCGCCCAUCUGACCCCAUGCCCACCCACUGCGGUCCCGAUUGCGGUCCACAGAGGUGCUCCGGCGUGCGCGCCUCUCGCCAACCGGUAAGGCUGCCACUAGGGUGGUGGCUAUGGUGGCAGCUGGGGCAGCGGCGCAGGUUAUUGCGGCAGUGGCGGCAGCUACCUAGAGAUGUGGGACCUCGGGACCUAAGAAGAGGAAGGCAGACACGCUCUGCCCAUCUGUCCCGCGUCUCCCAGCCGUCCUCCUCUCCCCUCCCCGACUCCAGGAGCCCAACUCCGGGAAGUUGAAGCCGGGCUACCAACUGCUCAUGCGCGGGCUAGAGCGCCUCUGGCCUAACAAAGGCCACCGUAGUUGCUAAGCAACGUGGCCGCAGAGUUCUGAGGGAGCCGGAGCGCCUUCUGGUGGUGCAGAGGAGCAGGCACAGGCUGUUUCUGCUGCCUUAGAGAGGAGCUGUGGCCUAUGUUUUCCAGGGGAUCCUGCAGAAGGGAGGGAGGGAAGGAAGAAAGCGUGGUGUGAAGCAAGCCAUCUUCAGUCUGUGUCAAAAUGACCUUGCAACCCCACAUUGCAUGACCGAAGACGCUAGCCGGACAGGUCCUCAAUAGGAAAAGGUAAAGCAGUACCUCGCUUUCACAUUUCACAGUUGCGUUUAUUAGAGAUUAGGGGCAUAAUUUAACGAUGUGCCACGGUCCUUGCCUCCCUCCGCACAUGGAUAACAUCAGGGUCUCUGAACUUGUUUGAUAUAUAACCAAGAAAUUCUUGCUUCUGUUACAUUCAAUGUACAUAAUCUAGAGAAGAGCCCAGCUGUACUCUAUCCCUUUUUUUUAUAACCUACUUGUAAGUUUUUCUUUUUUCCUCUUCCCUUCAUGUCCAGUGUUUUGUGAAACAGAUAGAAAGUAGACUUAAAUUCACACACCUCAGAGCGGUUCCAUCAGAGCAGUCUGUUGAACUGUUUUCCAGGGGGUCAAACACCUCACGCUAAUCGUGGAAUAAGCUCCUUCACUAAUAUAACUUAGACUGUUCAUUUCAGUCGACAAAAGUAAAAAGGAAGGAAAGGAAGGUGGAUAGACGAAUGGGUGGUUAAAGGUCCCAAGAGUGGAGGAUGGCCUGGCAGGGGCCUGGCUGACUCAGCAGGAUCAGGAGACUAUCGGCGGUCAGACUUCCUCAAGUUGGCCUUGACGGUGUGCCUGGGACUGUCCGAAGAGGGGUCUGUCCAGUGGCCCCAAGAAGUGACUGCCUGUGUCCUUCUGGGUGGCUUUGUUCACUCAGGGGCUUCAGCAACUGGAGCCAUAAGCCGAGCCCGUGGAGCUGCCUGUCUGGGUGGGCACUGGGAAUGGGCACCCUGCUGUCUCCAUUCCUCCCGGUCACCUUGUGGCUGUGUUCCUGUGUUUCACUGCGUGGCUGAGUGUGAAUUAUUUUUCCUCCUUGAAGUCUCUCCUGGGCUUUCCUAAGGUGCGUCUGGCUUGGUAAUGGCUUCAGACUAGCAGUUGUAGGACGCCCAUGUCCGUCCAGAGAGGCACCUUUUCAAACAGAACACAAAAGACCUUAUCAGGAAUUGAUUUUACACUUGGAGGAAAAAUGCCAAAAGAAGUCAGAGAACGUGGUGAUAACUCCAACGCCCAAAGUAUCACACCUUCCCCCAAUGCUUCAAUCUUCUCUAACGCUGGUAACAUGAUCCAGAAGAAAGUGGAUUUGGGACGUCGGGACUGACUCCACUACAGAGUUGAUGGCCAACUCGCCCCAGACGCAAUGCCAGUUGAGCUGUCUGUUUUGGCCUACCAGCACUUCAUCUUCUGGCUUCCACUCUUUUCCCUGGGAAGUCCGACGCUGGGGGCUGGGUGCGGUGUUGGCCUCGCGGGGGUGGGAGUUCUUCGGUACCGGGGUUUUUCCUCGGAAACCCCUUACUCUCUCUCUCUGUCCUUUUUUUUUUUUCUUUGGCUUUGUCGACCCUGUCUCCAACCUUCUCAGACUUUGGGUGGGCACUCUGCAUGUUUCCUCUUGGGUCCUGGAUAGGAUAUUCUCCAUCGUGACCCCUCUGGGGGUUCUUCUUGCGGUGCAAAGCCUGGCUGGGGUCAUCGUGGUCAGUCUGGGGAUCUCCAGAGUCUGCCUCAGAAACACUCUCUGCAUCUUGUCUUGCCACCUCCCAAGGCCGCAGGUGUGCGAUGCGAUCUUUCUGUCCCCUGUGCUUGCCUUGGCUCUUCACUCUCUCGCGUGAUCCAGUGCUCCUCCGCUUGGCUGCACUCGUUCGGUCCCCGUGGGUUCACGUUUCCUUCCGCGGCGCCUCUCCUGUUCCUCAACCCUUCUGCUCAGCUCGUGGCUUUUGUUCUGCUUAAGUCACGGACACCCCUCUUUUCCGGUUCCUUGGUUGGCUUGGUUUGGUUUUUCAAUUCAGAAGAGAGACUGACCCUUCCCUAUCAAGACCGAGCACUUCCCUUCCUAGUCUCGCCCCGGCGCCUUUCCCGGACGCUCGUCCCUCCCCCUGCACCCCCUCCAGCAGCCUGUCUCUCGGCAUCAUUCACGUUCAGGGACAACGCGCCGCUUUUCCCUCGGGGAUCCGACGACUUCCGGUGGCCGUGCCCAGAGGUGGGGUGCUGCCCUUGCCGCCUCUUGGAACACGACGGGAGGGGCCCGAGCCCCCGAAAGGCCUGGAGAAGACCCUUCCUGACCAUCACACGAGCCUAGAAGAGACUGCUUCUUCUCCAAAGGGGAUCCUCUGAGGGCGGCUAGAGCCCUUUCAGGGUGAUCCCCACCGUGGAGGGGACAGAGGCCUGACAGGAGAAUGCCCGUCUGUGGCCCAAGCAGCCACCGAGGGUCUGUGCCUGGGCCGGGUCUCCACGGCCAGCUCCUCGACGGCCAUGCCCAGGUACCACCUGAGGGCAGGUGGUGGUUUUCGGGUGGGGUGAAAGGUGGGGAGGGGAGAUGCUUUCGACACCUUCCUGGAAGACCCUGGGAGAGGCAGGGCCCGCUGGGCUGUGGCCCCAAGGCAUGGGCCUCCUCUGCCCACGUCUAGGGGAGGCUCCGCUCCCAGAGUCAGUAGAUUUGCAGUUGAUCCGACCAUCACUUGGAGCGGGACGUGGGGACAUUCAUGGCCCCCGCCUCAGCAGAUUUCAUCUCUCGCACCCCAAUCCCACCCCAUUGCCCCCCACUGCCGUCCAGAUUCGGGUCCACAGAGCGGCCCGUCAUGCCCGGGUCUCACUCUAGUAAGACUGCCACCAGGGUGGCGGUCAUGGUGGCAGUUGGGGCUGAGGGUGUGGCAGCAGGGGCAGCAGUGGAUUUUAUGGUGACAGUGGAGGCAGCCACUCAGAGAUCUGGGAUCUCCGGGACCUUAGGAGGGAAAGGUGGAGGCACCCUGCAAGCCUGCCCUCCUCUCCCUUCCUUCCUCCUCUCCCCACCCCUGUCUACCCACUCAGGGAGCCCAGCCUCCUGCUGCUGAAGCCGGCCAAUCAACUGCGCAUACGCGGGCUCUCUGGAGCCUCGCAACGCCCGCUCCCUUUGCUAAGGAACUUGACCGCGAGGCUCUCAGGGAGCGGGCGCGCCCUCUGGCGGUACCUAGGCGCAAGCACAAGCUGUGACCGGUGAUUUCCUGAGGCGGCUGUGGCCCAUGUUUUCCAGUGGGUCCUUCAGACGCUUGGAUGACAGGAAGGAACAAGGAAGGACGGAGGGAGGUAAGAAGGAGGGAAAGAAGGAAGUUAGGAAGGUAAAAAAGAAGGAAGGGAGGUAGGAAGUUAGGUCAUAAGGGAGAAAAGAAAGAUGAAUAGAAGGAUGAAUGGGUGGUUGGGGCUCCCAAGAGUGGGGCAAAGCCGUUCAGGGGCCUGGCUGAGAAAGCAGCAUCCGGAGCCAGGCGGUGGGAUCCCUUCCUCAAGUCAGCCUGGAGGCUGUGCCUGGAACUGUCUGCCACACCCUCCAAGGGGUCUGCCCUGUGAGCCCAAGAGGGGACUGCCUGUGCGCUUCUGGGUGGCUUUGCUGGCUCAGGGACUUUGGCACCUGGAGCCACAGGCCGAGCCCAGGGAGUCACCAGUCCCCGUGGAGGGACGAGGCUUGCCCUCUGGGCCUGGGCACCCUGCCGUCCCCAUUCCUCACAGUCCCCUCGUGGCUGCGUUGCUGUCUUUCUGCUGUGUGACUGAGUGUGACUUGUUUUUCCUUCCUCCUUGAAGUCUCUCCUGGAUUUUCUUAAGGUGUGCCUGGCUUGACAAUUUCUUCUCACCGGCUGUUGUAGGAAGCCUCUCUCCAUCCUGAGACACACCUUUCCAAACACAAGAUCACGAGAAGACUCGAUCAGGAACUCAUUUGACACUUGGAGGAAAAAUGGCCAAAGAGCUCAGAGAAGGUGCUCAGGCCUCUAACAGGACCACCCUUCCACCCCCCUGCCCCCAGUGCUCAUGAUCAAGAAGAGGAGAGUUGUUUGGGAGAACAGGACCGACUCCACUGCAGACUUUAUGGCCAACUCGCCACUGACUCAUUGCCAGUUGAGCGGUGUAUUUUGGCAUACCAGCACUUCAUCUUCUGGCUUCCACUCUUUUUCCUGGGGAGUCCAACCCCGGGAGCCGGGGGCAUGGUUGGCCAAGGGGGGGGUGGUGUUCUUCGGGACCAGGGUUUUUCCUUGGAAAGCCCUCUUUCUUUGUCUUUUUUUUUCUUUUACUUUGUUGGCCCUGUCUUCAGCUUACUCAGACCUUGGGUGGGUGCUCUACACACUUCCUCUUGAGGUCCUGGAUAGAAUAUUCUUUUCUUUUUUUUUUUUUCAAGAUUUUAUUUUUCCUUUCUCUCCCCAAAGCCCCCGGGUACAUAGUUGUAUAUCUUAGUUGCAGGUCCUUCUAGUUGUGGCAUGUGGGAUGCCGCCUCAGCAUGGCUUGAUGAGUGGUGCCAUGUCCGCGCCCAGGAUCUGAACCAGGAAACCCUGGGCCACCUAAGUGGAGCGGGCGAACUUAACCACUUGGCCAGGGGGCUGUCCCCCAGGAUAGGAUUUUCUUGACCGUGACCCCUCUUGGGGUUCUUCUUGUGGUCCAAAACAUGGCUGGGCUCAUGGUCAGUCUAGGAAUCUCCAAGUAUUGCCUUGGAAACACACUCUCUCCAUCUUGUCUUGCUGCAUCCCAAUGCUACAAGAAUCCGUUGCGAUCUUUCUGUCCUUUGUGCUUGUGUUGGCUCUUCACUCUUUCCCAUGGUCCUGUGCUCCUCGCUUGGCUGCCCACGUUCUAUCCCUGUGGGUUCACUUUUCCUUCAGCGAUGUCUCUCCUGUUCUUCAACCCUUCCGCCCAGACUGUGGCUUCCAUUCUUCUUAAGUCACGGCUCUACCUCUUCUCCAUUUCCUUUAUUCGUUUGGUUUGGUUUUUAAACUCUGUAGAGAGACUCUCUUCUCUUUCUGGACUGAGCAUUUCCCUUCUGUGACUUAAUCACUUGUGUCUUUUGUGGAUGCUGGUAUCUCCCAUGUUCCUUUCCAUGAACCUAUCUUUUGGCACAAUUCACAUCAAGGAAAAUGCACCACUUUUCCCUUUGGGUUCUGAUGCCUUCUGGCUGGCGUCCCCAGAGGUGGGGUGCUGCCAUCACCAGAACUUGGAACACGAUGGGAGGGGCCUGAGCCUGGAAAGCACUUCAGAAAUCUCUUACUGACAAUCACACGGGCCUAGAAGAAACUGCUCCUUCUUCAGCGUGGUUCCAUUGAGAAUGCCUAGAGCCCUUUUAGGAUUAUCCCCACUGUGGAGGUGACAAAGGCCUGACACAGAGAAGUUCCUCAGCGGGCUAAGUGCCCAGCAACAGUCUAUGCCUUGGCUGGGUCUCCAUGUCCAGGUCCUCGACAAUCACGCCCAGGUACUAUCUGAGGGAAGGUAAUGGUUUUCAGGUGGGGCGAAAGGCGGUGGGGGUAGGGGAAAUGGUGUGUUCAACACAUUCCUGGUAGGCACUGGGAGAGGCAGGGACUCCUGGGCUGUCACACCAGGGCAUGGGCCUCCUCUGCCCACGUGUAGGGGAGGCAUUGGUCCCAGGGUCAGUAGAUUUGCAGUUGACCCGACCAUACUUGGAGUGAGACUUGGGGCAUCUUCAUGGCCCCUGCCUCACCGGAUUUCGUGAAAUCCCUCCUGCCCGUUAUCUGACCCCAUUUCCACCCACAGCGGUCCAGAUUCAGGUCCACAAAGGGGUCCGGUGUGCCCGUGUCUCACCACCCAGUAAGGAUGCCACCAGGUGGGCUGGCUGGCAGUGAUGGUGGCAAUUGGGGUGGAAGCUAGGGUGGCAGGGGGCAGUGGUUGAGAUUAUGGUGGUGGUAGAGGCAGCCACCCAGUCAUCUGGGAUCUCUGGAACCUGAAGAGAUGAAGGUGGAGGUACCCUCCCCACCUGCCCCCCUCUCCUGUCCUUCCUUCUCUCCCCUACCAUUGCCCACUCCCUCUGGGAGCCCAGCUUCCUACUGUUGAAGCCGGCCAAUCACCAGCCAUGACUACCCACAUUGCUAAGCAAUGUGACUAGGAGGCUCCUAGCGAGCUGGUUCGCCCUCUUGUGUGGCAAGGCGCAAGCACAGGCUGUGGCUGGUGCUUUCCUGAGGUUGCUGUGGCCCCAUGUUUUCCAGUGGUUCAUUCAGACAUUUGGAUGGAGAGAAGGAAAGAAGGAAGUCAGUAAGGAAGGAAUAAAGGAAGGAGGAUAGGAAGGUAAAAAAAGAAGGAAGGAAGUUAGGUAAAACAAAGAAAAGAAACGUAGACAGAAAGAUGAAUGGGUGGUUGGGGAUCCCAAGAGUCGGGGAAGGCUGGGCAGGGGCCUGGCUGAGAAAGCAGCAUCCGGAGCCAGGUGGUGGGAUCUCUUCCUCAAGUUGGCCCAGAGGCUGUGCCUGGGACUGACUGCCACACCCUCCAAGGGGUCUGCCCUGUGAGCCCAAGAGGGGACUGCCUGUGCACUUCUGGAUGGCUUUGCUGGCUCAGGGGCUUCAGCACCUGGAACCACAGGCCGAGCCCAGGGAGCCGCCUGUCCCAGUGGAGGGAUGAGGCUUGCCCGCUGGGCCUGGGCACCCUGCCGUCCUCAUUCCUCCCAGUGACCUUGUGACUGUGUUGCUGUAUUUUGCUGCAUGGCUGUGAAUUUUUGUUUUCUUCCGUGAAGUCUCUCCUGGGUUUUCUUAAGGUGUUCCCAGCUUGGACCAGCAGUUGCAGGAAGCCCUUCUCCAUCCUGAGAGACAUUUUUCCAAAUUCAAUAACACAAGGCCUUAUUUUAGACUUAGAGGAAAAAUGCGGAAAGAGAUCAGAGAAGGUGCUUAUGACUCUAAUGCCCCCCCUCCUCACCCUCUGUGCUAGAAUAUGACCUAACCCUAGGGCCAUUAUCAAGAGGGGGAGAGUGGCUUGGGGACGGCAGAAUCAACUCAACUGCAGAAUUUGUGGCCAGUUCACCACUGCCCCACUGCCAGCUGAGCUGUCUGUUUUGGCCUCCCAUCACUUCAUCUGGCUUCUGCUGUUAUGACUGGGAAGUUGGUCCCCCAGGUGUGGUGGGAACAAAAGUUAUUCCUUGGAAGAUGUUCUUUCUCCCUGUCUCUCUUUCUGUGUUUUCUUAUUUUUCUUUUUUGCCUUGUCUGCAAGCUUCUCAGACCUUGGGUUGGCUCUUGUGGCCCUGGAUGGGAUAUUGUUUUGUUUUGUUUUGUUUUUUGUCUUUUGUGGGUGUUUUUGAGGAAGAUUAGCCCUGAGCUAACAUCUGCUGCCAAUCUUCCUCUUUUUGCUGAGGAAGACUGCCCCUCAGCUAACAUCCGUGCUCAUCUUCCUCUACUUUAUAUGUGGGACACCUGCCACAGCAUGGCUUGACAAGCGGUAUGUAGGUUCACACCCAGGAUCCAAACCAGCAAACCCCAGGCCACCCAAGCAGAAUGCACGAACUUAAGCACUGCACCACCGGGCAGGCUCCUGGAUAGGAUAUUCUUGAUCAUGACCCCUCUGGGGGUCUUCUUGCAGUCCACAGCAUGGCUUGGGGUCAUGGUCAGUCUGGGAAUCUCCAAAUACUGUCUCAGAAACACACUCUCUCCAUCUUUUUUUGCUAUAUCCCAAUCCUCCAGGUGUCCGACGUGAUCUUUCUCUUCUCCGUGCUUGUGCUGUCUCUUCAGUAUUUUCCAUGAUCCUGUGCUCCUAUGCUAGGGUGUAUGCAUUCUAUCCCAGUGGAUUCAGUUUUCUUUCAGCUGUGCCUCACCUGUGUAUUGCCUAGUCUCUUCAAAACUCAUUGUCAUGGACUAAAGAGGUGUGUAGCUUGGAGGGCUGAGGAGAGGUAUUGGCAUGCUUUUAAUAAUAUAAGUGGUCCCAGAUGGAGGAUUUGAGAAACAAGAAGGAAUGAUGAACAAAGAAAAUGCUAAAAUGUGUGUAAGUAGAAAACAGUAUUGACAGUGGAACAAAAUAGCAGAAAUGACUGACAGCAUUUAAAAAGACAAUGAAAGGGCCGGUCUGGUGGUGUAGUAGUUAAGUUCGUACUCCACAUCAGCAGCCCAGGGUUCCCAGCUUCAGAUCCCAGGCACAGAUCUACAUGCCACUCAUCAAGCCAUGUUGUGGCGGCAAAAUAGAGGAAGACAGGCACAUACAAAAUAGAAGAUGAUUGACACAGAUGUUAGUUCAGCAACAAUCUUCCUCAAGCAAAAAGGGGAAGAUUGGCAACAGAUGUUAGCUUAGGGCCAAUCUUCCUCACUAAAAAAAUGUAUAUAUAUAUAUAUAUAUAUAUAUAUAUAUAUAUAGACAGUGAAAAUACUGGAAAACAGUGGCAUAUAAUUCAAGAGAUUGGUGUGGGUUUGAUUUAAAUUAUUUCAAGUCCCUUUAUUGUUACAGAUAGGCCUAAUGUUUUGAGAUUCAGAUUUAGUAAGCUGUAAGAGACCUGAAAUAAUUGUUCCUUAAAACAAGAUAAAAACUUGGGCCAGCCCCAAGGCCAAGUGGUUAAGUUUGUGUGCUCUUCUUCGGCCCCCAGGGUUCACCAGCCCAGGUCCUAGGCAUGAACCUACACACCAUUCAUCAAGACAUGCAGUGCUGGCAUCCCACACAGAAGAACUAGAAUGACUUACAACUAGGAUAUAAACUAUGUGCUGGGGCUUUGGGGAGAAAAAAAAAAAGAGGAAGAUUGGCAACAGUUGUUAGCUCAAGGUCAAUAUUCCUCACCAAAAAGUAUACCUUUAAAAAAAAUAAGGUAACUGAUUUUUCUAUCCUCACAUUUAGUAGUCUGCAGUUAGGUAGUACAGGACUGGUGUAGAUCUUCUUUCUUGUUUUCCAUCACCCUGAGGAUGGUGACCUUAUUCACCCAGCCCAAGAUGGCACACCAUCACAUUCACAUCCCAAGGAGCCAAGUGGAGGAGGGGGCAAAGAGGCACAUCAGUUUACUUUAAGAACAGGAAUCUGAGGUUGCACACAGUACCUUCUGUCACGUGCUCCUGGCUAGCACUUACUAACGUGGACAGACGUAGCUGCAGAGCUAGCUGGGAAAUUACCAAGAGUUAUGACAUCCAGCACUGGUGAUGAAGCAAGUAAAUGAAUAUUGAACCAUUGCUUUUGAGGAAAUAUUAUAAUGACAUUUAGAACUUAAACUUUGAAUACCUGUUUAAAAAUCUAGGGCUUCUGUUUUCAGCUCUGACAUUUCAGGAGCUUAGAAGCCAUCGCUUCUGUCCUUACAACAAGAGAAAAAACUGAACAAACUGAAAAUGAAUGACUUUUCUUAAACCUAUCAGAGAAUUGAGGUCACAGGGAAAGCCGCCACCCUGAAUUGUGGAGAGAUGGAAAAAUGUGGGUGAUAACAACCAAGAUCAGUUUACUUGGAGCAAAAGCCACUGGAGCCAUAAACUGUUAGGAUCACUUAAAUGAUAAUUUUGAUGAAUUGCUGAAGGAAACCAUGUAAGCAAGAAGACAGUGGAGUGAAAUAUUUAAAGUGUUGGGGGAAAAGACUAGAAUUCUACAUCCAGUGAAAUCACCCCUCAAAAUGAAGGAGAAAUAAAACCUUUCUCAGAGAAACAAAAAUGGAAAGAAUUUGUUGCCAGGAGGUCUGUCUUGCGAGAAAUGUUAAGAGAAGUUCUUUUGAGAGAAGGAAAAUGGUAUAGGUCAGAAGCGAAAGGAAGGAAGAUUGUCAGAGCAGGAAUAAAUGAAGCUCCAAAUUUACUCUUCAAUACCUGCUCUGUGAAAAUGGACUGGAUUCUUCAAGCCUUUCCUCUUUACAGUGAGUAUGAUGUGAAACGUUGUCAGUAGAGGGCGCUGGAGGAGGAAGGGGCUUCUCUUCCUGGUUCUGGCUGCUGCAUUUUGCUUUUUCUUGCUCUUGCUUUGUGGUCCAUGGGGUGUGUGUAUGUGAAAACAUUCAAUGAUGCUCAGCACCAGCUGUGCUCCAGAGCAUGCAGUCUCUCGGAGAUCUUGCCAAUCUGGCCUGGGCUCAGUGACCACCUUGCUGAGGCCCUCCUGAUGAGACACUCACACACAUAGUGGAAUCGCAACUCUCUCUGUAUACCUGCCCAUCAGCUUUGGCUUGCAUGUGCCAUGGAAGGCUAUUUCCUGCAGCCCUUCUGAUGUGGAUACCCUGCAUCUCACCCUCGUGCCUGCGGUGCCACUCCCACACUGAGUACUUGGCAACCCAGCAAACUUCUCUGCCAUCCAGUGGGAUGUAACUACAUCUCUACUGAGGUCUGAAACCCAGCCUCUGGGAGGGACCCUCCUUCCAACUUUGUCCUUCUUUAGGUACUCUCCCUCAGCCCGUGUCUGGUAUUUUCACCGUAAGCAUCUUUGCCAUAGACAUCUUUCCUGCAUGUGUUUUCACUGCAGACAUUUUCACUGCAUAACUAAUUGGCCAUAAGGCAAUUUUGUUAUCAAAGAUGAAAUAAUGAAUAAUAAAAGAGGGAUAUUAAAAAGGAUAUAAUAAAACAUGAAA
rnacentral:lncRNA from 1 species